rnacentral:miRNA from 2 species
ACUGGGUAAAGUUUGUCCUA